UGCCGUCGCCGCGGCCGCCGUGGCGUCAGCGCAGUAGGUAUACCCCUCUCUACCUAUACACAUGCGCGAGCGGCGGCGGCGGCGGCGGCGGCGGCGCAGCGAGAUGGCGGCGGACGAGCCACCGCCCCCGUGCAUCAGUUAUAGUGCGCGUAUACCUUAUACUCGCCCUACUCCUUUCGCGCACCUACUCGCUCUCUAUCUCUCUCCCCACUCCGCGCUUCCGCCCCCACCUUCCGGAGAAUCGACGUGUGUUUUCGAAGUAGGGGCACGGCGUGUAGAGCCGAGCUCUGCGUUUUAUGUGUUUACGUGCGCGCGCGAGCGCGCGCCCCCACGUGAGAAUCGCCCGAGAGAGGAGAAGAUAUGCCAGACACAUGGUGCUCUGCCUUGAGAGAGUUUUGGGAACGCCGCGUGGAUUCUUUAAAUGAUGCUGAGCUUCUUCUUCUUCUUCUUCUUUUUUCGGUGCGCAGAGAGAGAGCUGCAAUGCGCCGCACCUUCGGAAAGGGGAGUAGUAGUUCGAGGUGCAGAGACGACGGCUAUCUGGAAUCGACGAUUCGACGGAGUGAUGAAGAGUGGAGACGACUGAAAAAAAUAAAUGAAAGACUGAUUUGUUGAUAUUAAUAUAUUUUUAACGAGUAAAUAUUUCGUACUUGUUGUUAUAAGCAUUUCGAAUAAAGAAUAUACCUCACAAUUGACUCACGUGCCUCCUUUUUGUUACAUGAAUUUUAAUUGAUUGCGAACUGGAAAUUUCCUACGAGGAGCUCGCAUCACGAAUCGUUUCCAGGCUCUGAAACAAACAGACCGUACCGUUAUAUAGGUGCACGAGGUUACGACAUACCUAUAGCUUUAUAAGACUUUUUCUGAAAUUGCGUACUUUGUGCGUUGCAUAAAAACUACCGCAGUCUUAAAUUUAGGGAAGAUAGGUAUCAGUUAACACGGAAUUUGUUCAGCAAACUUGCAAUUUUAUUGAUUUUUUUUACCUUUUCAUUUUAUAACGUGAGAACAAAUUAUAAAAUAUGUGAUUUUACAAUUCAAAUUAAAAACUUCAUAGGCUUACUCAAUCAAUAAUACUAACAUUAGAUUACUCAUACCCACGACCCUGUGUGUUACAUGGAUUUGAAAAGUGACUUGUUGCCGACUCUAUAUUUUCUUAUUUUUUGAUAUUCAAGAUGCAUAAAUCAUAAAGUUUUUAAAUACAAUUUUUUUUAAUAUUCACGUUAUACAAGGUGCGUAAUUCUGAUAGCAAAUGAAAUAUUUUGAUAUGGUGAAUGAAUCUGUGAUGAUUUAAAGUAACAUACUCAUUAUUUUUAUUGCAAUAUAUACAGAAUAUGCUAUUAAAUUGCGCAUCAUUCUGUGUGCUUUCUAUGCAUAUAGUUAAGUGUUAUACCAAUAUUAAGUCUAAGAUUAAUCAGAGUUUAUAUACGUUAGUUAUAAAUUUAACUUAGAAGCUCUUGCCGAGUAUCACCUCUAAUAAAAAUAAUUUUUACUAUUUACAGGGACAUUUUACAACAACCUAAGGCAAGCUAUCAAACUCCCGCUUCACACAAUACUUAGCAUACAAAUACAAAUGAUAAAUAUCGUCAAUAAUAUGCAUUUGCAAAAAUCAAUAGAAAAGUUUUUUCGUCGUGUA